rnacentral:rRNA from 1 species
AUUGAACGCUGGCGGCAGGCCUAACACAUGCAAGUCGAACGAGUGGCGGACGGGUGAGUAAUGUCUGGGAAACUGCCCGAUGGCGGGGGAUAACUACUGGAAACGGUAGCUAAUACCGCAUACCAUCGGAUGUGCCCAGAUGGGAUUAGCUAGUAGGUGGGGUACAGGCUAACCUAGGCGACGAUCCCUAGCUGGUCUGAGAGGAUGACCAGCCACACUGGAACUGAGAAACGGUCCAGAGUCCGACGGGAGGCAGAAGUGGGGAAGAUUGCACAAUGGGCGCAAGCCGGAUGCAGCCAUGCCGCGUGUAUGAAGAAGGCCGUCGGGUUGUAAAGUACUUUCAGCGGGGAGGCGUUACCCGCAGAAGAAGCACCGGCUAACUCCGUGCCAGCCGCCGCGGUAAUUC